CUGCUUCAGCAGCACAUAUACUAAAAUUAGAACCCGUGGAGAAGAUUAGAACGGUCCUUGGGCAAGGAUGAUAAGCAAAUUCCUAAAGCGUUUCAUAUACUA
ensembl:snRNA U6 U6 spliceosomal RNA